GACGAAAGGGGCUAGCGUUGUUCGGAAUUACUGGGCGUAAAGCGCGUGUAGGCGGUUGUCCAAGUUGGAUGUGAAAGCCUUGAGCUCAACUCAAGAAAUGCAUUCAGGACUGGAUGACUAGAGGACCGGAGAGGAUAGUGGAAUUCCCAGUGUAGUGGUGAAAUACGUAGAGAUUGGGAAGAACACCAGUGGCGAAGGCGGCUAUCUGGACGGUUUCUGACGCUAAGACGCGAAAGCGUGGGGAGCAAACAGG
rnacentral:rRNA from 1 species